UAAUACGAAGGGUGCUAGCGUUGUUCGGAAUUACUGGGCGUAAAGCGCGUGUAGGUGGUCCUCACAGCCAGGGGUGAAAUGCCGAAGCUUAACUUCGGAAUUGCCUUUGGUACUAGAGGGCUAGAGUCUGAUAGAGGAUGGUAGAAUUCCUAGUGUAGCGGUGAAAUGCGUAGAUAUUAGGAGGAAUACCGGUGGCGAAGGCGGCCAUCUGGAUCAGUACUGACACUAAGACGCGAAAGCGUGGGGAGCAAACAGGAUUAGAUACCCUGGUAGUCCACGCCGUAAACGAUGCAUGCUAGGUGUUGGGACGUACGUCUCAGUACCACAGUUAACACGUUAAGCAUGCCGCCUGGGGAGUACGGUCGCAAGAUUA
rnacentral:rRNA from 1 species